rnacentral:rRNA from 1 species
CGAGAUACAUCGAUAUCACAAAACCGGGUCGGGUGUUUCCGAAAAGGAGGGUGGAGACAUGUCACCUCUACUCCGGUACCACGACACGUGCGUGCGUGCGGCAGGUGCGGCGGCUAACAGCAACACAGCUAGUAGACCUCAUGGGACCUCUAGCUAUUCUUCUAGGGGUUGGGGUAUCUGUUUGGGAUUAGCAGUGAAUAGGGGAGGACGAGAGAGAGAGAGAAAGCAAACAAGCAGCGGACUUCGAGUACCAGCAGCAACAGCGUAGCUAGGGCGCCGGUGGCCGUAGGGGCAGUGGGCUCUCGUACGGGACCUCGAAGUCGCGGAGGCGGAGGUGGCUGAUGCACGUAGCCAAGCUCGAGCCUGCGUGGCCUUCGAGCGGUAGCGGGUAGAAGAAGCGGUACCGGUGGCUACAAGCAGCAGUCUACACGGCGGAGGGCUCGCGGGGGCUGGAGGACUGGUGCAGGUGCUCGAGGCACUGAUGCUCUGACUGCAGCGACGACCACGGGGCAGGCUGAUGCAACAACUGCUGGGGAGAAAGAACGGUCUCGUUGGUCUGCUAUCUCAGGUCCUCGGUCUGCGGUGACAGCUACUGCUGAUGAUGAUGAGCCCUCCACGGAUGAUGAUGCACGUCGGACGACUGCUACUGGUCCUCAUCAAAUCCUCCUAGGGUCCGUCCUCCGGACGCGGAGAAAACUAGACAUAGGGUCAAACACGAUCGGAAGAAUUCCGUUUAAACAAAUUGAAUACAGACAUGAGUCUAUAACAACGAAGGCGACUGAGCAGAUACUGGCUCGAGAACAUAAGCUCGGGCGCUCCGGGGACCGAACAUUAUA